UACGGGGGGGGCAAGCGUUGUUCGGAAUUACUGGGCGUAAAGGGCUCGUAGGCGGCCAACUAAGUCGGAUGUGAAAUCCCCAGGCUUAACCUGGGAACUGCAUCCGAUACUGGAUGGCUUGAAUCCGGGAGAGGGAUGCAGAAUUCCAGGUGUAGCGGUGAAAUUCGUAGAUAUUGGGAAGAACACCGGUGGCGAAGGCGGCGAGCUGGCCUGUACCUGACGCUGAGGCGCGACAGCGUGGGGAGCAAACAGG
rnacentral:rRNA from 1 species